GUGGACGCCAGUCUGCGUGGAGCCGACCUUGAAAUACCACCCUUUAAUGUUUGAUGUUCUAACGUGGACCCGUGAUCCGGGUUGCGGACAGUGUCUGGUGGGUAGUUUGACUGGGGCGGUCUCCUCCUAAAGAGUAACGGAGGAGCACGAAGGUUGGCUAAUCCUGGUCGGACAUCAGGAGGUUAGUGCAAUGGCAUAAGCCAGCUUGACUGCGAGCGUGACGGCGCGAGCAGGUGCGAAAGCAGGUCAUAGUGAUCCGGUGGUUCUGAAUGGAAGGGCCAUCGCUCAACGGAUAAAAGGUACUCCGGGGAUAACAGGCUGAUACCGCCCAAGAGUUCAUAUCGACGGCGGUGUUUGGCACCUCGAUGUCGGCUCAUCACAUCCUGGGGCUGAAGUAGGUCCCAAGGGUAUGGCUGUUCGCCAUUUAAAGUGGUACGCGAGCUGGGUUUAGAACGUCGUGAGACAGUUCGGUCCCUAUCUGCCGUGGGCGCUGGAGAACUGAGGGGGGCUGCUCCUAGUACGAGAGGACCGGAGUGGACGCAUCACUGGUGUUCGGGUUGUCAUGCCAAUGGCACUGCCCGGUAGCUAAAUGCGGAAGAGAUAAGUGCUGAAAGCAUCUAAGCACGAAACUUGCCCCGAGAUGAGUUCUCCCUGAGACUUAAAGUCUCCUGAAGGAACGUUGAAGACGACGACGUUGAUAGGCCGGGUGUGUAAGCGCAGCGAUGCGUUGAGCUAACCGGUACUAAUGAACCGUGAGGCUUAACCUUACAAC
rnacentral:rRNA from 1 species